CCUACGUGAGGCAGCAGUGAGGAAUAUUGGUCAAUGGGCGCGAGCCUGAACCAGCCAAGUAGCGUGAAGGCUGACUGCCCUACGGGUUGUAAACUUCUUUUAUAAAGGAAUAAAGUGAGGCACGUGUGCCUUUUUGUAUGUACUUUAUGAAAAAGGAUCGGCUAACUCCGUGCCAGCAGCCGCGGUAAUACGGAGGAUCCGAGCGUUAUCCGGAUUUAUUGGGUUUAAAGGGAGCGUAGAUGGGUUGUUAAGUCAGUUGUGAAAGUUUGCGGCUCAACCGUAAAAUUGCAAUUGAUACUGGCAGUCUUGAGUACAGUUGAGGUAGGCGGAAUUCGUGGUGUAGCGGUGAAAUGCUUAGAUAUCACGAAGAACUCCGAUUGCGAAGGCAGCUUACUAAACUGCCACUGACAUUGAUGCUCGAAAGUGUGGGUAUCAAACAGGAUUAGAUACCCUAGUAGUC
rnacentral:rRNA from 1 species